CUUGGUCAUUUAGAGGAAGUAAAAGUCGUAACAAGGUUUCCGUAGGUGAACCUGCGGAAGGAUCAUUACCAAUAUCUGGGAUGCAAAAGACACAGGCUCCCGAUAAAACACAUUCAUGCGUAUCCUUCCAUGUUGCUUCCCCAGGCCAGUGGCCACUGCUGCCAGCCAGGCUACUACUCGGUGACCUGGUUGAGGUGCCUGGGGAAGGCCCAAUUAUCAAACUUUACAUUAACUUACAGUCUGAGAAGGCCAUGUGCCGUAAUCUUCAAACAUGUUAAAACUUUCAACAACGGAUCUCUUGGUUCUGGCAUCGAUGAAGAACGCAGCGAAAUGCGAUAAGUAAUGUGAAUUGCAGAAUUCAGUGAAUCAUCGAAUCUUUGAACGCACAUUGCGCCCGCCAGUAUUCUGGCGGGCAUGCCUGUUCGAGCGUCAUUUCAACCCUCAAGCCCCCGGGCUUGGUGUUGGAGAUCGGCGUGCCCCCCGGGGCGCGCCGGCUCCCAAAUAUAGUGGCGGUCUCGCUGUAGCUUCCUCUGCGUAGUAGCACACCUCGCACUGGAAAACAGCGUGGCCACGCCGUUAAACCCCCCACUUCUGAAAGGUUGACCUCGGAUCAGGUAGGAAUACCCGCUGAACUUAAGCAUAUCAAUAAGCGGAGGA
rnacentral:rRNA from 1 species